rnacentral:lncRNA from 1 species
NAGAAAGGUGACUUGGUAAGACCAGAAUCUGGAACAGAGAUUGGAUGAAGAAUUGCUUUUUCUUUAGCGGGAAUGGCGCCACCUUUUUAUUUAGCAACUGCCGCCCCGCUUAAUAGGAAUAGGAUGCACUUACCGACCGGUGAAAGGAAAGAGCUGGGUCAGCCAUCGACAAAGGAAUACCGAACUCUACCCGUGUGAGGCCUCGUAGCCAGGGAGAACCAUAGAAUCGGAGGGUUAUAUUAGAACAUCGGUGGAAAGGUCGAGAGGGCACCUAAAAAUAGCUUUAGAAGCCAGAUUAGGAAAGUGUUUCCCGAGUUCGAGCAAAUGCAAUGCG